UUGCACCUGAAAUGUAAAAAGAUCAUCAGCAACAUAUUAAUUUUGUGGGCAUUUCAAUUCAUGCACAUGCCAGUUGAGAGGCAAUGACAAUGCUACAGGUUAGUACCGAGUAAGAAGUCUGAGAGAAACACAUAAAUAGGCAAUGUUAGUACCGAGUAAGAAGUCUGAGAGAAACACAUAAAUAGGCAAUGUUAGUACCGAGUAAGAAGUCUGAGAGAAACACAUAAAUAGGCAAGCCGAGCGAGUAUUACAUUAAUGCUAACCAAUUUAGUAUGGAAAAAAUCAAAAGAAGUUAGCCGCGGGAAGGGAGAGAAUCAUCAUUUGCAUUGAUUUAACAUGUGCAAGUAGAUAGUUUGUUCUAUGCAUCAUUAACUAAAGAGAUCUUCUUACAACCAAUUAUUGUUUGCUUUUUUAUGUUGGCAUGUCCAGCAUGACUACAAUGGUAUGCAGUUGCAACCAUUACCUCAAAACAGUAAGACAUUGGUAAAAGUUGAAAGAUGCACUUUGCAUGAAUUAAAGGGGUCUUCCUGCUACUAACAGGUUUGAUAAAUUUUGUUUUUGUAGGUAAUAUUCGAAUGCAUCCGGAUGGUCCUUCAUUGGACUCUGAUCCUUUUGUUAAUUCUUCGGUUGGGAGGUUCAUUAACCCUUUAUUGGCGUCGUUUUCUGGCACGAGUUCUUCUAAUCCUGUCACCCUGUGGGGAGAAUAGGCCGAGAAGUUUGAUGCAGAAGAUAUCCGACAGGCUUCUCUAGAGGAAAACGUGUUUGUGUUGUUCGUAGGUAUGAAUGUUACUUUAUUUUUAGGUACGCGAGUUCCACGAACCCCCUAAGGCAGCAUCAGUUAUCUAAUGCCUUCACUCCCGUUUAAGGCCAUCGUUUACAGCAUUAACAAGUUCACCAUGUGCUUACAUAUGGAUUUUGGGUUUGCUGGCACGUUAACAUACCCAUUCCUGAGAUAGAUGCUCUCUGCGAAAGCUAACCUGCGCUACGCCUUAUAUUCUGUAUAUUCUUUAAACAAUAAUCAAGCAUGAUUUCCAUACAACACUUUCUGUAGCCUUGGAGAUAAGUGCUACAUAGUAGACUGGGAGAACUUCGACAAUGCAAGAAUUGAAGCAGCUGAGGUCAGCCUUUAUGACCUAUGCAAAGAAGAGAGGGAUAUUAUGGGUGCUCACCAUUGUGGACGAUCCAAACGACUGGUGGUUCUAUGCUUGCAAGCGGUGCUGGAGAAAAAUGGUUCAAGCUGGAGUUUCCCGUAGGCCGUAGGUGCCCCAGUUGUCUCACCACGGGCUAACACCGCAGGUACAGGCUGAAGGUAAGCGCAACAGACGUGGAGCCAAAUGCUGAGAGCAUUCCCGUCACUGGCCAUUCCACGUUCUUCGGCGAGAGGCCGAGAGCAGCACUGCUCUCAUGGGCAGAGAUGCAGAUCUUCUUGCUGCACUUACUCGAGGCUGUCCUAAUUUUGUUCCUGCUGCCAUUUUGACGACAAUUGGCAAGAAGUGCACUAUCAUCGCUCAAGUAGACAAGGAGACCUACAAUGCUGAUCCUGGAGUGGUGUUUUUACCAUCCCAGAGGCCCAACUGAUACAUGACUCAGUGCCAGCACUGCCAUCUUCUAGCCACUCCAGCCUUACAAUAACUUAUAAGCUGGCUGUGCCGGCCGAUGAGCUCAGCACACUAAACCAGCUCCCAAAAAACAGCAGCCCACAAACAACACACGGAAGAGGACAUGGGUGAGGCAACCAAAGACAAGAACAGAAAGAGUACCAACAACAAGAAAGGCCCGGCCAAGACGCUCUUGAAGGGAAAGCACAAACAUCAGCCUUGCCAGGUUGUUGUGUAGCUCCUCACAUUUCAUCAUACCGAAGCACUGAUUCUACAUCCUAUUUGCAUUGCAGACAUACAUUGCAGGACGAGGCCAGAAUAAGCUCACUACUAGGGAAAAUCAAGCAAAUAAAUCAACCACUGGGAGAUGAGGCUUCUCAUCAGCUUGCCAGCUUAUGCUAUUAAGCCUAUCUUAUGUAACAGUAUCCAAGAUGAAUAUCUUAGCAGUUUUCUGAGAUUGCAUACCUAGAACUGUGUGUCUGAGUGGCUGGUGCCUACAGCUCUGUGCAUGACUAUCUAUGUAUAAUUAUCCGGUAUCUAGAA